rnacentral:rRNA from 1 species
GCCAGCCCGCUCAGAACUUAAAUGAAUUGACGGGGCCCGCACAAGCGGUGGAGUAUGUGGUUUAAUCCGAUGCAACGCGAAGAACCUUACCUGGUCUUGACAUCCCGGAGACCCUUAGGAAACUAGGGGUGCUUCCAUCUGGAAGAAUCUGGAGACAGGUGCUGCAUGGCUGUCGUCAGCUCGUGUCGUGAGAUGUUGGGUUAAGUCCCGCAACGAGCGCAACCCUUGCCUUUAGUUGCCAGCAGUUCGGCUGGGCACUCUAAAGGGACUGCCGGUGUUAAACCGGAGGAAGGUGGGGAUGACGUCAAGUCCUCAUGGCCUUUAUGACCAGGGCUACACACGUACUACAAUGGCCGAUACAAAGGGCAGCGACACUGCGAGGUGAAGCCAAUCCCGUAAAAUCGGUCUCAGUCCGGAUUGGAGUCUGCAACUCGACUCCAUGAAGUUGGAAUCGCUAGUAAUCGUGGAUCAGCAUGCCACGGUGAAUACGUUCCCGGGCCUU